UACGUAGGUGGCAAGCGUUAUCCGGAUUUAUUGGGUGUAAAGGGCGUGUAGGCGGGAGCGCAAGUCAGAUGUGAAAACUCAGGGCUCAACCCUGAGCCUGCAUUUGAAACUGUGUUUCUUGAGUGCUGGAGAGGCAAUCGGAAUUCCGUGUGUAGCGGUGAAAUGCGUAGAUAUACGGAGGAACACCAGUGGCGAAGGCGGAUUACUGGACAGUAACUGACGCUGAGGCGCGAAAGCGUGGGGAGCAAACAGG
rnacentral:rRNA from 1 species